GACGAACGCUGGCGGCGUGCCUAAUACAUGCAAGUAGAACGCUGAAGGAGGAGCUUGCUUCUCUGGAUGAUUUGCGAACGGGUGAGUAACGCGUAGGUAACCUGCCUUGUAGCGGGGGAUAACUAUUGGAAACGAUAGCUAAUACCGCAUAAGAGUAGAUGUUGCAUGACAUUUGCUUAAAAGGUGCAAUUUCAUCACUACCAGAUGGACCUGCGUUGUAUUAGCUAGUUGGUGGGGUAACGGCUUACCAAGGCGAAGAUACAUAGCCGACCUGAGAGGGGGGUCGGCCCAACUGGGAACGGGAAAAGGCCCAGACUCCUAAGGGAGGCAGCAGUAGGGAAACUUCGGCAAUGGACGGAAGUCUGACCGAGCAACGCCGGGUGAGUGAAGAAGGUUUUCGGAUCGUAAAGCUCCGUUGUAAGAGAAGAACGAGUGUGAGAGUGGAAAGUUCACACUGUGACGGUAUCUUACCAGAAAGGGACGGCUAACUACGUG
rnacentral:rRNA from 1 species